CUKUAGGUAGAUAAUWUGAGGUCGAACCYGCCCMCUGAAGAGGAUUAAAGGGCUGCGGUAUUUUGACCGUGCAAAGGUAGCAUAAUCAAUAGUUUCUUAAUUGGGAACUGGAAUGAAUGGUUUGACGAAAUAAUAACUGUCUCUUAAGUAAGAGAUGAAUUUUACUUUUUAGUUAAAAGGCUAAAAUAUUAAUGGGGGACGAGAAGACCCUAUAGAUCUUAAUUAUAAAUUUGUUUUUGAGGUAUGGUUUGUAUUUUAAGGGAGCAUAAUUAUUGAUUUGGUUGGGGUGACGYAGGAAUGAAUUAACUUCCUUUAAUAAUUAUUUUGAUUGAAAUUGUGAUGAUCCUCUWAGAGGGAUGUAAGAUUGAGAUACCUUAGGGAUAACAGCGUUAUUUUAUUUGAGAGUUCAAAUUGACAAUAAAGAUUGCGACCUCGAUGUUGGAUUAAGAUUAUAAAUUGGUGUAGAAGCUAAUUGUGUUGGUCUGUUC
rnacentral:rRNA from 1 species